AAAAUCGUCUCGCUGCUGCCUUUAGUCCUCAGAAGAUAACAGACGCUUUGUUUGAGGUGUAUUGUAUAAGUGGAAGCGAGUAUAAACUCACAGAGGCACCAGAAAGUGUUUUUCAAAGAUGUUCAGAUCAGCGCCCCGGAUAUGUUGAUUGUCGUAAAUGUGACGAUGCAAAAACCUACUAUGCAUAUUCGCAUUGUAAAAAAGAGCGUUGCAAUAAUCAAACAGCAGCAUGUCAGUUUAGUUUUACACAGAACGAUAAAGGCCUUUCGAUAAGUUCCUUCUGUGGAGAAGUCGAGACGUGCUAUGAGGAGAAGGUGAACACACAUGCCAGUUGCGAGAAAGAUGCAUCUAACGUCAGCUGUGUUUUCUGUUGCUUGGA